UACGGAGGGUGCAAGCGUUAUCCGGAUUUACUGGGUUUAAAGGGUGUGUAGGCGGACUUUUAAGUCAGUGGUGAAAUCUCGGGGCUCAACCCCGAAACUGCCAUUGAUACUAUUAGUCUUGAAUACUGUGGAGGUGAGCGGAAUGUGUCAUGUAGCGGUGAAAUGCAUAGAGAUGACACAGAACACCGAUUGCGAAGGCAGCUCACUACGCAGUGAUUGACGCUGAGGCACGAAAGCGUGGGGAUCAAACAGG
rnacentral:rRNA from 2 species